rnacentral:rRNA from 1 species
UACGGGAGGCAGCAGUGGGGAAUAUUGCACAAUGGGCGCAAGCCUGAUGCAGCCAUGCCGCGUGUAUGAAGAAGGCCUUCGGGUUGUAAAGUACUUUCAGUCGUGAGGAAGGUGUUAAGGUUAAUAACCUUAGCAAUUGACGUUAGCGACAGAAGAAGCACCGGCUAACUCCGUGCCAGCAGCCGCGGUAAUACGGAGGGUGCGAGCGUUAAUCGGAAUUACUGGGCGUAAAGGGCACGCAGGCGGUUAAUUAAGUUGGAUGUGAAAUCCCCGGGCUUAACCUGGGAAUGGCAUUCAAGACUGGUUAGCUAGAGUCUUGUAGAGGGGGUAGAAUUCCAUGUGUAGCGGUGAAAUGCGUAGAGAUGUGGAGGAAUACCGGGUGGCGAAGGCGGCCCCUGGGACAAAGACUGACGCUCAUGUGCGAAAGCUGGGGAGCAAACAGGAUUAGAUACC